UUCAAUUACAAUAAUCCUAAAAUUGCUGUUAUUGCUCAUUAAUGCAUUUGGUGUGAUGCUCCAUGCCAUGCUUAGCUCCUACAUUUGCCGUUGGAGUGCUUGGCCCCGUAAUUGCUGCUUGCAGCUAUAUUUAUUAUUCUUCUUCUUCUUCUUCUUCUUCCGCCGCAAGUCUAUGGCAGCCCAUAGAACCGUUUGCGGGAAAGUUGUAUAAUUUGGCACACUGAUAGAGGACAGUCCCAACAUUAACUAUAGCAAAUUUGAAGCCUCUAACUCCUACUCUCUAGCGCCACCACUUGUCCAAACUUUCAAUGUUUGUAUGCUAAUAACUUUUGAACCGUAAGCCAGAAAAUGGAAAUUCUUUUUUCCUCUGAAUCCUUGGCUCAGGCCAAGUCGAAUGAACCCUAAAAUUCAAAAAUCGCAAGGUUUAGUUUUUUCGCUAUUUUCAAUUAUUCGAAAAACCUACUUUUUCGAACUCGUCCUAGACGGUUAGUCCGAUUGCCACGAAAAUUGGCUCAGAUCAUCUUCAGACCAUGCUGGCAAAAAGUUAUGGAAUUCAAGUUGAUUCGUCCAACUGUUGUCGAAUGACACGUAAACAAAUUUGAAGAAAAGCACGCAAACAUGCACGUGAGGCUAUAUCCCGGCAACGGUUUGUCAUAUUGAGACCAAACUUGGCGUGUGUUAUAACAAGCAUGAACUGAGACUACCUGCAGUGUUUCGACACAGCGCCACCUAGUGGUCAGGAGAUAUGAAAAAUGCAUAUUUUGGCUUAUAACUACUGAAUGGUUUGGCCAAAAAUCACACAACUGGUCUCUUUAAAUUCAGUGAGUCAUGUCGAGUCGAAUGAUAUCCAAUUUUCCUGUGUCGGCCAUUUUAGGCGUCGGCCAUUUUGAAUUAUGUUUCAAAAUGCUGUAUUUUUUGAACGCAGCAUCGUAUCGUUUCGCAAAUAAUUACAAAAAUAUUCGGCUCCAUGCCCUGAAGGUACUCAAAAAGUUUGGUGGCAGCGCCACCUUGUGGCCAAUAGUUAUAAUGAAAUAUCACAUAAAUGCUAAUAACUUUUGAAUAAAUUAGUCUAUUAAAAUUAAAAUGAUCUCGCUAUAUUCUGUGGGUCAUGCCGAGAGUAUUGAUACCAAUAAUGUGAAAAUUGGCCUUACUUCCUGUCCGCCAUUUUGCUUAAUGUUGAAAACCUACUUUUUCGAACUCCUCCUAGACCGUUAGCCCAAUUUUCACCAAAUUUGACGUGCAUCAUCUUCAGACCAUGCUGGCAAAAAGUUAUGGAUUUUGUGUCGAUAUACGUAACGGUUCUCAUUUAGCGCAUCAACGAAUUUGCUGGAAGGGUGCCAAAAUGCAUUUGAGGCUGUAUCUCUGCAACACUUUGACAUAUUUGCACCAAACUUUGUAUGUGUCAUCGCCACCUCACACUGACCAUGCCACAUAAAUUUGGUAACAGCGCCACCUAUUGGUCAAGAGUAAUAAACCAUUCAUUAACCAUGAGUAAUUACACUUUUUAUAAUGCUAAUAACUUUUUAAUGCAUUAGCCUAUUUGAAGGUAACUGGGCUCAAAAUAUUCCCUGGCUUAUGCCAAUAACAUAGAUACCAAAUAUACCACAGUAAGCUGAACUUCCGGUCCGCCAUUUUGAUUUAUGUUGAAAACAUACUUUUUCGAACUCCUGAUCAACCGUAUGUCCGAUUUUCACCAAAUUCGAAUCAAAUGAUCUUCAGGCUAUACUGAUUCAAAGUUAUGGAUUUUGAGUCGAUAGACAAAACCGUUUUCGCAUACCACAUCGACGAAUUUGAGGCACAAUGAGAAAAUGACACUUGAGGCUGUAUCCCUGGAAUGCUUUGGCAUAUUGACACCAAACUUUGUGUGUGUCAUUGAAAAGUCACACAGAGUACACCAAAUUGAUUUUAUAACAGUGUCACCUAUUGGUCAAGCUUGAUAAACCAAGUAAUCAUGCUACUAGAGGUGGUAUUGGUGUUUUUUUUUUUUUUGCCAUUUCAAAUACAAUAAUUCCAAAAUUGCUGUUAUUGCUCAUUAAUGUAUUUGGUGUGAUGCUUUAUGCAAUGCUUAGCUACUACAUUUGUCGUUGGAGUGCUUGGCCCCGUAAUUGCUGCUUGCAGCUAUAUUUAGGGGCCAAGCACCGAAGGUGCGAAGGCACCUAUUGUGUUUGUUGGCGUUAUUAUUAGGGGCCAAGCACCGAAGGUGCG